CCUACGGGUGGCAGCAGUGGGGAAUAUUGGGCAAUGGGCGCAAGCCUGACCCAGCAACGUCGCGUGAAGGAAGAAGGCUCUCGGGUUGUAAACUUCUUUUGUCAGGGAAGAGUAGAAGACGAUACCUGACGAAUAAGCCACGGCUAACUACGUGCCAGCAGCCGCGGUAAUACGGAGGUGGCAAGCGUUGUCCGGAUUUACUGGGUGUAAAGGGCGUGUAGCCGGGUUGACAAGUCAGAUGUGAAAUCCUGCGGCUUAACCGCAGAACUGCAUUUGAAACUGUUGAUCUUGAGUACUGGAGAGGUAGAUGGAAUUCGUAGUGUAGCGGUGAAAUGCGUAGAUAUUAGGAGGAACUCCAGUGGCGAAGGCGGUCUGCUGGACAGCAACUGACGGUGAGGCGCGAAAGCGUGGGGAGCAAACAGGAUUAGAUACCCUUGUAGUC
rnacentral:rRNA from 1 species